UACGGAGGGUGCAAGCGUUAAUCGGAAUUACUAGGCGUCAAGGGCACGCAGGUGGCUUGGCAAGUCGGGUGUGAAAGCCCCGGGCUCAACCUGGGAAUUGCAUUCGAUACUGCCGAGCUAGAGGAGGGGAGAGGAAAGUGGAAUUCCCGGUGUAGCGGUGAAAUGCGUAGAUAUCGGGAGGAACAUCAGUGGCGAAGGCGGCUUUCUGGCCCAAUACUGACACUCAUGUGCGAAAGCGUGGGGAGCAAACAGG
rnacentral:misc_RNA from 1 species